GGUUCAUUCAAAUUUCUUCCCUAUCAACUUUCGAUGCGAGGGUAUUGUCCUCGCAUGGUUACAACGGGUAACGGAGGGUUAGGGCUCGACCCCGGAGAAGGAGCCUGAGAAACGGCUACUACAUCCAAGGAAGGCAGCAGGCGCGCAAAUUACCCAAUCCCGACCGGGGAGGUAGUGACAAUAAAUACUGAUACAGGGCUCUUUUGGGUCUUGUAAUCGGAAUGAGUACAAUUUAAAUCUCUUAAGAGGAACAAUUGGAGGGCAAGUCUGGUGCCAGCAGCCGCGGUAAUUCCAGCUCCAAUAGCGUAUAUUAAAGUUGUUGUGGUUAAAAAGCUCGUAGUUG
rnacentral:rRNA from 1 species